rnacentral:rRNA from 1 species
AGCGGCGGAUGGGAGAGUAACACGUGGGGAACCUGCCCCUAAGUCUGGGAUACCAUUUGGAAACAGGUGCUAAUACCGGAUAAUAAAGCAGAUCGCAUGAUCAGCUUUUGAAAGGCGGCGUAAGCUGUCGCUAAGGGAUGGCCCCGCGGUGCAUUAGCUAGUUGGUAAGGUAACGGCUUACCAAGGCGACGAUGCAUAGCCGAGUUGAGAGACUGGUCAGCCACAUUGGGACUGAGACACGGCCCAAACUCCUACGGGAGGCAGCAGUAGGGAAUCUUCCACAAUGGACGCAAGUCUGAUGGAGCAACGCCGCGUGAGUGAAGAAGGUUUUCGGAUCGUAAAGCUCUGUUGUUGGUGAAGAAGGAUAGAGGUAGUAACUGGCCUUUAUUUGACGGUAAUCAACCAGAAAGUCACGGCUAACUACGUGCCAGCAGCCGCGGUAAUACGUAGGUGGCAAGCGUUGUCCGGAUUUAUUGGGCGUAAAGCGAGCGCAGGCGGAAAAAUAAGUCUAAUGUGAAAGCCCUCGGCUUAACCGAGGAACUGCAUCGGAAACUGUUUUUCUUGAGUGCAGAAGAGGAGAGUGGAACUCCAUGUGUAGCGGUGGAAUGCGUAGAUAUAUGGAAGAACACCAGUGGUGAAGGCGGCUCUCUGGUCUGCAACUGACGCUGAGGCUCGAAAGCAUGGGUAGCGAACAGGAUUAGAUACCCUGGUAGUCCAUGCCGUAAACGAUGAGUGCUAAGUGU